rnacentral:rRNA from 1 species
ACUCCUACGGGAGGCAGCAGUGGGGAAUAUUGCACAAUGGGGGAAACCCUGAUGCAGCCAUGCCGCGUGUGUGAAGAAGGCCUUCGGGUUGUAAAGCACUUUCAGUAGGGUAGGAAGGUAGUGUAGUUAACACCUGCAUUAUUUGUACGUUACCUACAGAAGAAGCACCGGCUAACUCCGUGCCAGCAGCCGCGGUAAGUACGGAGGGUGCGAGCGUUAAUCGGUAAUUACUGGGCGUAAAGCGCAUGCAGGCGGCCUGUUAAGUCAGAUGUGAAACGCCCGGGGUCUUAACCUCGGAAUUGCAUUUGAAACUGGCAGGCUAGAGUCUUGUAGAGGGGUUAGAA